ACGAAAAAUGAAUACCAAGUCUCAAGAGUGAACACGUAAUUCAUUACGAAGUUUAAUUCAUUGAGCAUCAAACUUUUAAAUUGAAGAGUUUGAUCAUGGCUCAGAUUGAACGCUGGCGGCAGGCCUAACACAUGCAAGUCGAACGGUAACAGGAAGCAGCUUGCUGCUUUGCUGACGAGUGGCGGACGGGUGAGUAAUGUCUGGGAAACUGCCUGAUGGAGGGGGAUAACUACUGGAAACGGUGGCUAAUACCGCAUAACGUCGCAAGACCAAAGAGGGGGACCUUCGGGCCUCUUGCCAUCAGAUGUGCCCAGAUGGGAUUAGCUUGUUGGUGAGGUAACGGCUCACCAAGGCGACGAUCCCUAGCUGGUCUGAGAGGAUGACCAGCCACACUGGAACUGAGACACGGUCCAGACUCCUACGGGAGGCAGCAGUGGGGAAUAUUGCACAAUGGGCGCAAGCCUGAUGCAGCCAUGCCGCGUGUAUGAAGAAGGCCUUCGGGUUGUAAAGUACUUUCAGCGGGGAGGAAGGUGUUGUGGUUAAUAACCGCAGCAAUUGACGUUACCCGCAGAAGAAGCACCGGCUAACUCCGUGCCAGCAGCCGCGGUAAUACGGAGGGUGCAAGCGUUAAUCGGAAUUACUGGGCGUAAAGCGCACGCAGGCGGUCUGUCAAGUCGGAUGUGAAAUCCCCGGGCUCAACCUGGGAACUGCAUUCGAAACUGGCAGGCUUGAGUCUUGUAGAGGGGGGUAGAAUUCCAGGUGUAGCGGUGAAAUGCGUAGAGAUCUGGAGGAAUACCGGUGGCGAAGGCGGCCCCCUGGACAAAGACUGACGCUCAGGUGCGAAAGCGUGGGGAGCAAACAGGAUUAGAUACCCUGGUAGUCCACGCCGUAAACGAUGUCUACUUGGAGGUUGUGCCCUUGAGGCGUGGCUUCCGGAGCUAACGCGUUAAGUAGACCGCCUGGGGAGUACGGCCGCAAGGUUAAAACUCAAAUGAAUUGACGGGGGCCCGCACAAGCGGUGGAGCAUGUGGUUUAAUUCGAUGCAACGCGAAGAACCUUACCUGGUCUUGACAUCCACGGAAGUUUUCAGAGAUGAGAAUGUGCCUUCGGGAACCGUGAGACAGGUGCUGCAUGGCUGUCGUCAGCUCGUGUUGUGAAAUGUUGGGUUAAGUCCCGCAACGAGCGCAACCCUUAUCCUUUGUUGCCAGCGGUCCGGCCGGGAACUCAAAGGAGACUGCCAGUGAUAAACUGGAGGAAGGUGGGGAUGACGUCAAGUCAUCAUGGCCCUUACGACCAGGGCUACACACGUGCUACAAUGGCGCAUACAAAGAGAAGCGACCUCGCGAGAGCAAGCGGACCUCAUAAAGUGCGUCGUAGUCCGGAUUGGAGUCUGCAACUCGACUCCAUGAAGUCGGAAUCGCUAGUAAUCGUGGAUCAGAAUGCCACGGUGAAUACGUUCCCGGGCCUUGUACACACCGCCCGUCACACCAUGGGAGUGGGUUGCAAAAGAAGUAGGUAGCUUAACCUUCGGGAGGGCGCUUACCACUUUGUGAUUCAUGACUGGGGUGAAGUCGUAACAAGGUAACCGUAGGGGAACCUGCGGUUGGAUCACCUCCUUACCUUAAAGAAGCGUACUUUGCAGUGCUCACACAGAUUGUCUGAUGAAAA
rnacentral:rRNA from 1 species